rnacentral:rRNA from 1 species
AACGCGAAGAACCUUACCUGGGCUUGAACUGCAGUGGACCGGUGCAGAGAUGUGCCUUUUCGCAAGAACUGCUGCAGAGGUGCUGCAUGGCUGUCGUCAGCUCGUGUCGUGAGAUGUUGGGUUAAGUCCCGCAACGAGCGCAACCCUUACCCGUAGUUGCCAGCGCGUCAUGGUGGGAACUCUACGGGGACUGCCCGGGUUAACCGGGAGGAAGGUGGGGAUGAUGUCAAGUCCUCAUGGCCCUUAUGUCCAGGGCUACACACGUGCUACAAUGGGCGAUACAAAGGAAUUGCAAAGUCGCGAGAUGGAGCUAAUCGGAGAAAGUCGUCCUCAGUUCGGAUUGUAGUCUGCAACUCGAUUACAUGAAGGGGAAUCGCUAGUAAUCGGUUCAGAAGA